rnacentral:rRNA from 1 species
AGCGAACGCUGGCGGCAGGCCUAACACAUGCAAGUCGAACGCCGUAGCAAUACGGAGUGGCAGACGGGUGAGUAACACGUGGGAACGUACCCUUCGGUUCGGAAUAACUCAGGGAAACUUGAGCUAAAACCGGAUACGUCCGAGAGGAGAAAGAUUUAUCGCCGAGGGAUCGGCCCGCGUCUGAUUAGCUUGUUGGUGAGGUAACGGCUCACCAAGGCGACGAUCAGUAGCUGGUCNGAGAGGAUGAUCAGCCACAUUGGGACUGAGACACGGCCCAAACUCCUACGGGAGGCAGCAGUGGGAAUAUUGGACAAUGGGCGCAAGCCUGAUCCAGCCAUGCCGCGUGAGUGAUGAAGGCCCUAGGGUUGUAAAGCUCUUUUACCCGGGAAGAUAAUGACUGUACCGGGAGAAUAAGCCCCGGCUAACUUCGUGCCAGCCGCCGCGGUAAU